rnacentral:rRNA from 1 species
UGGGGAAUAUUGCACAAUGGGGGGAACCCUGAUGCAGCGACGCCGCGUGCGGGAUGACGGCCUUCGGGUUGUAAACCGCUUUUAUUGGGGAGCAAGCGUGAGUGAGUGUACCUUUUGAAUAAGCACCGGCUAACUACGUGCCAGCAGCCGCGGUAAUACGUAGGGUGCAAGCGUUGUCCGGAAUUAUUGGGCGUAAAGAGCUCGUAGGCGGUUUGUCGCGUCUGGUGUGAAAGUCCAUCGCUUAACGGUGGAUUGGCGCUGGGUACGGGCAGGCUAGAGUGUAGUAGGGGAGACUGGAAUUCUCGGUGUAACGGUGGAAUGUGUAGAUAUCGGGAAGAACACCAAUGGCGAAGGCAGGUCUCUGGGCUAUUACUGACGCUGAGGAGCGAAAGCGUGGGGAGCGAACA